rnacentral:rRNA from 1 species
GGCUAAUCCUGGUCGGACAUCAGGAGGUUAGUGCAAUGGCAUAAGCCAGCUUGACUGCGAGCGUGACGGCGCGAGCAGGUGCGAAAGCAGGUCAUAGUGAUCCGGUGGUUCUGAAUGGAAGGGCCAUCGCUCAACGGAUAAAAGGUACUCCGGGGAUAACAGGCUGAUACCGCCCAAGAGUUCAUAUCGACGGCGGUGUUUGGCACCUCGAUGUCGGCUCAUCACAUCCUGGGGCUGAAGUAGGUCCCAAGGGUAUGGCUGUUCGCCAUUUAAAGUGGUACGCGAGCUGGGUUUAGAACGUCGUGAGACAGUUCGGUCCCUAUCUGCCGUGGGCGCUGGAGAACUGAGGGGGGCUGCUCCUAGUACGAGAGGACCGGAGUGGACGCAUCACUGGUGUUCGGGUUGUCAUGCCAAUGGCACUGCCCGGUAGCUAAAUGCGGAAGAGAUAAGUGCUGAAAGCAUCUAAGCACGAAACUUGCCCCGAGAUGAGUUCUCCCUGACUCCUUGAGAGUCCUGAAGGAACGUUGAAGACGACGACGUUGAUAGGCCGGGUGUGUAAGCGCAGCGAUGCGUUGAGCUAACCGGUACUAAUGAACCGUGAGG